rnacentral:misc_RNA from 1 species
UCUCAAGCCUGGCUUGUUGUUGGACUUUCGGUCUGGGCUCGCUCCCGACCGGUCCCAAAAGUAACGACGGCGUCCGUGGGACUCUCGGUGCAACGAGCUUUCUUUAAGCACGCACCGAGUCGAAAGGUCCCCCGGCACGGUCUUGUAACCAUUUUUCUAAGGUUGACCUCGGAUCAGGUAGGAAUACCCGCUGAACUUAA